rnacentral:rRNA from 1 species
AGUUCCAUUACUUGGAUAACUGCGGUAAUUCUGGAGCUAAUACAUGCUAAAGAGCCCUGACUCACGGAGGGGCGCAUUUAUUAGAUCAAAACCAAACGCUUCGGCGUUCAUUGGUGAAUCUGAAUAACUUUUGCUGAUCGUAUGGCUCAACGCCGACGACGUUCCAGUCCAAGGUGUGCCCUAUCAACUUUCGACUGUGAUAUAGACGCUCACAGUGGUUUUGACGGGUAACGGGGAAUUAGGGUUCGAUUCCGGAGAGGGAGCCUGAGAAACGGCUACCACUUCUAAGGAAGGCAGCAGGCACGCAAAUUACCCAAUGGUCGAAGACCGAGGUAGUGACGAAAAAUAACGAUACCGGUCUCUUCCGAGGCCCGGUAAUCGGAAUGAGUACACUUUAAAUCCUUUAACGAGGAACAAUU